CCCUUGUAUAUUAGUAUUGGAAUUUAAUAAUUUUUGGCGGUUAACUAUUAAUUAGAGGAGCUUGUAUAGAUUUAGCUCUUUAUAUUUAAUUAAUAAAUUUAUUCAUCUCCGUUAUUAAUAUUAUAUUUCAGGUCAAGAUGUAGUAUUUAUUAGGAUAUUAGCUACAAUUAUAUAAUAAUAAAUUGAAUUUAAUUGUAAUUGUAUUUAAAAUAAUAUGAUGAAUGGGAUUGGUUAAUGU
rnacentral:rRNA from 1 species